rnacentral:lncRNA from 1 species
UUAAUAUGAAAGUGAAUUUUGUCCUUUUUACAACUGGUAUAAAGAGUAAACUGCUCUGUGGUUAACAAUUGAUUCUAUUUUUCCCUUCAGGAUCAAAUUAUUUGCCACCUGGGGAACAAGGGAAAGAAGAGGACCUGUGCCCCUUGUUCCCAGAAGACUUCAUCCCAGCCAGCACAUUUCCUGAUUGAAUGAAAGAAUUAAGGAAAUAGCAAACCAUUCAAGUAUCUUUGCUGAGAAAAUUCCAUGGAUGGCAUGGGUCCACAAGAUCAUGAGUUGGACAUCACUGAAUAACAACAACAAGAAAAGAAAACCAAAGCCCAAGGAAGAGAUUUACCUGAAGAAGCAUACAUAUGAAAAAACAGAGCCAAGAUUCAAAUCAAAGUCUUCAAAUUUCACAUCCAAAGUCCAUUCUACUAAAUUGGGGCCAGAAGAUGGACCAUGAUAUUUGAAUCUUUGAUGACCAUGGAAAAGUCACUUGACAUCAUUGACCCUCAAUUCCCUCAUCUGUAAAAGAAAUAUGGUAGUUCUUACUCUGCUCAACUAAAGGGGUUGUUGUGAGGUUAACUGGAAUCUGUGAGUUUAACAUGGCACACUUGUUAAAAAAGCUACCUGUUCUGUAAGUCCAAGAUUCCAAGCAAGACAUUGCAUCUGAGCCUGGCAGUGAUACCCUGAGGAUCACAGAUUUAUACUGGAGCCCAGCAUUGCCAGCUUUCCUCUUAAACAUGACAGAGCUAAUGUGGGAACUGAACCAAGCUGUGAGCCCAAUUUACCCCUUCUCCCCAGACAGAGGUGGAAUAGGAGAGCUAUAGUACAAAAUGUUGAAGGAAAGGUUAAGUGUUCUUGUUAUAUCUUUGAAGUAAUUAUUUCUUUAGAAAAAGCCAAUGUAAUAUAGUUACAUAAAACUGGAAUGCAAAAUAUUGAGCCCACCAAAAAAAAAACCACACUUGAUAAGGACUUUAGUUUAUGGCCAAGAUGAGACUGCCCAAAAUAUAACAGGCCUGGUCCUGUUACAGUGGGGUCAAUGCUGAAUCAUGUUACAUGAACUAUGUAUUUUCAAGAUACUCUGUAUUAUAUGAGUUAUCAUCAUAUGAGGCAAUGUGACCAUGAUGGACUUAGAAGAAUUGAUUUUAGAACUUAUUACUUGGGUGAUCAUCUCAAGUCAUUUAAAUUUUCUUAAUCUCAGGCAGUUCUCUUAUGGUUGAACCAAGAUGAGUUCAAAAUAUAGUUUGAAUCAGAUUAAAAUGAAAUUGGGAAAUGUUUAACAAAAUAAAAAUUCCAGUUGUCUUUCA